GCUUACGGCCACACCGCCUGGUUCACGCCGGAUCUCGGAAGCUAAGAUAGGUUGGGCCUGGUUAGUACUUGGAUGGGGAGACCGCCUAGGAAUACCAGGUGCUGUAAGCC
rnacentral:rRNA from 1 species